rnacentral:rRNA from 1 species
GGAGGGUGCAAGCGUUGUUCGGAAUUAUUGGGCGUAAAGCGCGUGUAGGCGGCUUGGCAAGUCGGGUGUGAAAGCCCGGGGCCCAACCCCGGAACUGCAUUCGAAACUGCCUCGCUAGAGUCCCGGAGAGGAAGGCGGAAUUCCCGGUGUAGAGGUGAAAUUCGUAGAUAUCGGGAGGAACACCAGCGGCGAAGGCGGCCUUCUGGACGGUGACUGACGCUGAGACGCGAAAGCGUGGGGAGCAAACAGGAUUAGAUACCCUGGGUAGUCCACGCCGUAAACGUUGGGUGCUAGGUGUCGCGGGUAUUGACCCCCUGCGGUGCCGGCGUUAACGCAUUUAGCACCCGCCUGGGGAGUACGGUCGCAAGGCUA